rnacentral:rRNA from 1 species
GUUGACCUCGGAUCAGGUAGGACUACCCGCUGAACUUAAGCAUAUCAAUAAGCGGAGGAAAAGAAACCAACAGGGAUUGCCCCAGUAACGGCGAGUGAAGCGGCAACAGCUCAGAUUUGGAAUCUGGCCCCCAGGGCCCGAGUUGUAAUCUGGAGAGGAUGCUUCUGGCGCGGCGCCUUCCGAGUUCCCUGGAACGGGACGCCGGAGAGGGUGAGAGCCCCGUACGGUCGGACGCCUAGCCUCUGUGRAGCUCCUUCGACGAGUCGAGUAGUUUGGGAAUGCUGCUCAAAAUGGGAGGUAAAUUUCUUCUAAAGCUAAAUACCGGCCAGAGACCGAUAGCGCACAAGUAGAGUGAUCGAAAGAUGAAAAGCACUUUGAAAAGAGGGUUAAACAGUACGUGAAAUUGUUGAAAGGGAAG